GACAAAGGAUGCAAGCGUUAUCCGGAAUGAUUGGGCGUAAAGCGUAUGUAGGUGGCUUUUUAAGUCCGCCGUCAAAUCCCAGGGCUCAACCCUGGACAGGCGGUGGAAACUACCAAGCUGGAGCACGGUAGGGGCAGAGGGAAUUUCCGGUGGAGCGGUAAAAUGCGUAGAGAUCGGAAAGAACACCAACAGCGAAAGCACUCUGCUGGGCCGACACUGACACUGAGAGACGAAAGCUAGGGGAGUGAAUGGG
rnacentral:rRNA from 1 species